UAUUUUUUCAUUAUUUUUCACUGUGUCUGCUUGUUAAAUUACAUGUAGCAGCUGCCUUUUUGCUGUGCCAGCUCAGUAAAGAUUCGUUACCUUGAAGGUCAAUGAUGAAUAUUCUCUUGUCCUUAGAGGUCGCUCCAAGGGGUACUGUAGUUCUCUUAGUAAGAAAACUGUGCACUCGCUAGGCAUUUUUCAAUUCUAAACGUAAGGGUUUUUAGUAAAAACAGAAUAGGCUUUUUCUAGUGUUCAGAUUUUGAUGAGAAUCCAAGAAAAAUGUAAGGUUUUAUACUUAAGAGCGUGAUCACAACCAAGUAAAACCAGUGAAGAGCUCAGCUCUAAUCACGCACCUUUCAGUGUUGGCAGCUGAAAAACAAUCUUAAUUGUGCUUUUUUUUCACAGGGUUAUUUCUGAAAUGGAUGUUUAGCUUGCUCUAGUAGCAAGAUUCUUUUUCCGUCUUGGAUGAAAGUAAUAUGGUGAAUACUUUCUUGUGCAUCUGUAUGCUUAGCAUGCUGUGGUGCACUCAUCACUUAUAGUUUACUCUCGAGAGCUGCUCUUGAAAUGACAGCUGUCUGAGAGCUGGUAUGGCAUUGUGCUGAGCUUAUUGUUUUUAAAGCUUUUUCCUCUCUGAAAAGGGUGCAUGCACUAAACUUAAGUGUUCUAAGGUGAAUAGAUGCUCAGAUAAGUAAAUGGAGACUGUACACUGGUGAAAGGUAUGGUCUGGAACCAGUAACCUUUAACCUGUGCCAGUUCAAAAUGGUUAAGAAUAGUAGCUGCUUUGACCACUUUGAAAUAUUUUGUGUCCUGCUUUUAACAUAACUCUUCUCUAGGAAGUUAUAGUAGAACAUCUUGAAGCUAAACUAAUAAAGCUAAUGCUGCCUAUGUCUGAAUUUCUGUGAGAUGACAAGGUGCUUGCAAAUGUGCUAGGUGUUCUGUAUAGAUUACCUGUGACAGCUCUGCUGCAUGAGGGUUGGAAGUAGGGGAGCUCUACUUAUUUGUAUGGAAGAACAGUGAAGGUUUUUUUUAAAAAAAAAAAAAAAAAAAAAAACUUGAGUUUUUGCUACCUUAUACUGGACACUGAGAUACAAUAUACUUCAAAUUAAAGCCCCUGGUGAAAUGAGAUAAGCCUAAAGGGAGUUGGUGAUUGCCAGGUGUUUAAUGUGGGCUAACAAUGCUGCAUUGCUCUCUGGAGACUGUGGAGUAGUCUGCUCUGCAGCAGGCUGGAUGCAGUUUGUACUUGCAGGCCCUGCAGCUCCUGGUGUCCCUACAGGGCUCUAUGACUCAGCAGACUAUUGCUGAUGGUGUUCAGGGGAAGGCAGAGCAUCUGAUUGCAUUAAAGCAGACACUGGUGCUGAAUUGGGAACCCUCUGGAGUUGUGGUGCAGCUUCUUUACAGCACCUAUGUUAACAUAAUCGGCUUACUGUGCAGUCCACAUCAUCCAAUGGGAGAAUGGCUCUGUCAAAGUGCUGGUGACAACAGUGAUGCCAUUGGUGGGUUGCUUUGUUUUUCAAGCAGUGGGAGUGGAGUUGCACAGUAAUUGUAGCAUGAUGUCUCUUAUUGCUAGCCUGCAUACUCUGAUCAUGUUGAUGCCUGGUAUGAUUUCUGAGGACAAAAUCCUGAAACUCAGCUGUGGUCCUUGUAGCUUUUUUUUUACCUCAGUCUGUCAAGUGAAUGAAAUUAAACCAGCAUUUUUUCUGAAGGCUGGAAAUAAGCUAAGCCCUGCACAUUUCUAUAGCAUGGUAUAAAAUCUCGAAUUUGGAGGCAACUUCAGGUCAGCUUAACCAUGAAUUGCUGUGGUCCUAUUUUCCCUUUUACAUUUGUUAUAGAUUUGAUGCCUGUGACUGCUGGGUAGUAGAUCCAGGUAACUGAGCUCCCUGAGAAAUUGGGAUUCUGUAGGAUUUGUAAUUACUGAUGCAAGAAUAUGGUUUUUCCCCACCCUUACCUAGAACUUUAACUGCCUUGAUUACUUUGAUUAGAGGAAGGAAUAUAUUUUAACUUAAUGGAAUCAGCUGGUUCUUGCAAAUGGGUACUGUGGCAUUUUACUUGCUAGUAAUCUAGUUCAAUAUGCUAGGGUUGAGUUAACUUUUUGGCUCUGAAUUUUUUGUACCCUCUUUUUACUGGCUUUAUAUCAAGCUAUAAGCACAAGAACAGUACUAAAUUUGCUGCUAUAUGUCAGUGAGAUUAAAUCCUGCUGACUUGCAGAAUACUGAGGUUAAAUAAAAGGAGCUGUUUUUAUAACACCUUAUGUAAAUUAUAUGUUCAUGUUUGUUUUGUAUACAAAACAUCUUCCUUUCUAGUUGAAAUGAGCUCUAAUUGCAACAGCAUUCUUGGCCUUAUCACUGCUUAGUAUGUUUUAUUCUUCUGGUAACAAAGGUAAGUAAAGACUUCAUUUUUUUCAUAGGGCUGACAUUUGCCUGUUGGGUCAAAUGUUUGCUCCCUGCCUGUAGCAAGAGUGGAAACUUCAGCUUGGCUGUUAAGAAAACCAGCCUUCUAAGGGAGGAAGUAGCUAUGUCCUUUACUACUUGAACUUUUAUUAAACCUGGGACUGGAUCAGGUCCCUGAGCUAGUUUCUUGGGCACAUGUUAGUUCUGAUAUCAGCUGGUGACAGAACACAAUGGAGGGCUGAUGGGAAAGGUUGGACCAGAGCAGCUCAAAUACAGAGAGGUGAAGUUAUAGUGGUACUCUGUCCUUUGGGCAACUGAGUCCAGUGUGUCACCAAAAGAGCUUUUUGGGACUCCCAAGUUUCUUGUAAAAAGUAUAGCUCAGGAUUUGAACUAGCUUGACCAGAAAAUGACACUUGUAAGUGCAUUCUUUAUUGCAUAUAACAAGGUAAGCUGCAAGUAGAUUAAGGCUAUUUCACAGCUGAUUUCAGUUCUUGGUUGUAUGAGUGCUUGGGACUGUUGCAGUAAAAAUAUACUGCCUGUGGCAGACUUCUUGCCAAUGUGUUGCUUCUGUCUGUCACAGAAGGAGGUAGACUAACAGAGGCAGCAUGUUCCUUUAUCCUCUUCAUUGGGAACUCUGUAGAUCAAGGAACACUGGUUAAUGGCCAGCAUGGGUGGCCAUUUCUAGCAGGGCUGCAGGUGCCUUUGACCAAUCAGUAACAUGACUUACAGGCAAUAACAGAGAAACUUUGGCGUUACUGCAUUUUUAUACAUGCUUCCUGAACUGAAGUGGAAGCGACUAGCUGAUAGCCUAAGCUGGAUCUCUAUAGAUCAAAGACCUAUUGUACUGCUAAGCUAAGGUCCCACAACUGUUUCUACAUAUUGCUUUUCUUUAUUUUAUAUAAAAGGUUAUGUUUAUGCUGAAACUUCCAUACUGUUGUCCAGGAUUCCUGUCCAAAGAAGGUUAAAAUUGACUGUUCAUGACCAUAAUGAACAUCAUAACCUGUUAUUUUCCUUAGGAGCUCAAAUGCUAUUCAGUCAUGGCCUUAAAGAAUGCUACUUUGAAUUGUGAUUCUAAGAACCCUGCUUAAAAAGCUUCUGUUUUUCAAAUCAUGGUGCAAUGUAAGUAGGUCUAAUCCAACAUUUCCUGGUGCUUAAUGGGAAUGUUGCUAUAGAAAUUUGAAUCUCUGAAAUAGUUAGGCACUCUGGGGCUGAAAUUCAUGACACAACAGUUUUUAUUCACCUUGUGAAUGAAUACAUUCACCUCAUGAAUGCAUCUGCAGUGUGCUCUUAUAAUUGACUUUUUUGGUCUUUGAAGAGAUCUUAAUGUAGCUUACAAAAUAGGGUAUUAGCUACACAUGCCCAAUGCACAAUACCAUACUAAUUGGGCUUAUUGUCUGUAGAGGCACUUAUCUUCCAAAUGGAGAUAACUUCUAGGUGUACUUGCAGCUUAGCUCUAUACAGUCUUCAUGUGAAAGAAGCUGUUAUAUUACUGGUGAAGGAAAACUAAGGGAUAUUUUGAAAUGCUGUUAUCUACUUCUGCCUUUAGGAUUCUUUGUUCUCAGAAUACUAGUAUGCUCUUAAAGUUAUAUCUGAAAUAAUUGCAUCCAUUUCUUCCUCUAAUGGAAGUAGUGUGCCCUGAGGACGAGAGCAGACCCCAUUGUGUCCAUGAAAUCUGCUAUAAAAUGACAGAUGAAGAAAGGAAAUAAUUUGUUCUGGAAGUGGUUUUGGGAUAGGCUGUCUUCAAAUAUAGACCUCUGUAAAUGUUCAUUUGAUGGAACAGCAGGCAAAUGAGGGCUUUGCUCCUCCCCAUUAAAUUAAGAGCAACUGAAUAUGAUGUAGAAAAAGCUUAUAGUUCUCAUGUUGUGCAAUGCUUUUGAACUUCACUUUUAAUUCUAGACUCUGAAUUAGCAGUGCUAGGAUACAAAUUCACAAAUAACAUGCUCCAAGCAGUUAAGUUCUGACUAGAAUGCAGUGUUUAGCAUUAGGUUCUUGCUGCUGGAGCACAAUGGCUGCACUUCAGGCUUACUGCAGAUAGCAGUUGCUGUAUUUGAAGAUGCUGGGCCAUGUUGACCGUAGAGGUCACUUAAAACAUGCAGGGAAAAAUGUAUUGCUAAUGUUAGCUGCAUGAAACCCUGUUAAUCUUUCUGUCUUCGUCUUGAUCUUUUAUUUUUCAGGUUUGCCUCAAAGCUUUUGCCAAAGACAGCAGAGAAUGUGGUCAGAAGUUGCUGGAGUUGAUGUAAAUCCUUUAAGCACUGAUAGCUUUGUCUUUCUCUCCAGUAUUCAGAUCAACCUGUUUAAGCUGUGGAGCUUCUGAAGUGUCUGAACAACUGUGCUGUAGAGAUGUUCUGCAGUAUGAAUGUCAAUAUAGCCUGGCUGCUAGUGGCUUAGCACUCCAUGCUCAGGGCAGGCCUGCUCAACAGCUUAUCUAUAAGUUUCUAAUCAUAGCCAGAGUGGUUGGAUAGGUCUCUGCAUUUUUCUAGAUGAUUCAUACUUUCAUAACCUAGUGUGAGUGUUAAGUACUUUUAAAAAUCACCAGCCAAGAAGGUGUUCGUGGGUAUCCUGAAAUGACCUCUGCAUAGAAAGAUACUGCUACAUUGUUGGCUUAUAGGUUACAGCUAGAAGCUGCAGUAGUUCGAGUUGAUGCCAGUGUUCACUGUACUAGAAGGUAAAACUGCAGUUGAGUACUUGGUCAGAAUGACUAGCAGAGUGCUAGAUUCAGUUUAACUGCCACUCAGCAGUUGUAGCAUAUCAUUAGGGUUUGGCUAUGCUGAAAGUGAUGUACAAGAGCAGAGCAAACAUGGCUGUAUUUAUGUGUAUUUCUGAGUUGUAACUGCUGCCAUCCUAUCUGCAUGUCUAUGGCUACGCUUAGCAGCUUGAGGGUCUCUUUUGUUAAUAACAGACCAUGCAUACACAGAGGAAGUGCCUCAGAUCUAUAUUGCCUGUAGGCUGAAAGUGUAAUGCUGUAGCUGAGCAGCUGAAGUAAUAGGGAAUCUGGGUGACUCAGUGGCUAGAUCAAUUCUGUGUAUAGUGCCCAUGAGAGGUGCUGCAUGUCCUGAUUCCCUUCAUGGAUAAAGCUUUAACUGAACAGUAAGUAUGGUAUAUAGUCAAUAAGAACAAAGCAUGAUGCAGACUAUACAAUUCCUUUAUCCAUGCUGGAGUCCUACUCUGAUUCUUCUGUGAUGUCUGGUAUGGUAGAUAGCAAGCAUAUUGUGCUAAUAAACCUCUAGGAAGCUGGGGGGCUGGCCAGGCUGAAUGUUAAUCUUCAGAGGAGUGGCUUUCCACUAGGGUUCAGAUCACUUCUAGUGGGUGAGCAUCUGCACAAUGAAAUGCGAGCAGGCUGGGGCCCUUAGACAAGCAGAAAUCGCUGCUGGCACAGGCCACUGUAGGAGACUUCUGGGAAGAAACAGCCAAUGUAAUGUAUUAUGCUGAGAGGAGGGCUAUGGCAGGAAAGAAUAAAGGAAGAAGGGUAAAUGGAGCUAGGGUCUAGAGGUGAAGGAAGGUUAGAAUUAAGGAGUAUUUCAUCCCCCAUGCUGAAGGAGACAAGGGUGAAUGGGUAAAAACAAUCUGAAGGGCGACAUCUUUCAAAGCCAGUUUCAAUGACCUUACUGCCCUGAUAGUACUUACAGGAAUGAUCUGGUAUAUGUACCCUUGCAAAAGCUAUAGAGAAUUUUCCCUUUAUAAAUUUGGAUGGUACUCAACAUUUGACUAGUGCACAGGAAGGAAGACACUCUUCUGCCUUCCUCAGCACUUUUGCUUUGGUUUACAAUUAUACCAUCUCCAAGUAUCUGAGGUGAGUACACAGUGCAGCUGUACUAGGAGCUUGCAAAAUGCUUUAAAGUUCAAUCUCAGACUAUUUUAGUGAUUCUUUAAAAAACUUACCUCUGGAUUUCAGCUUCUGUUGGUCUCACUGAGAAUCUUCAGUGAGAUAAAAUAGCCUAAUGAACUCAGGAAGGCAAACUCUAGAUAGUUGAAAUGCCUACAUACUGAAGAUGUAUUUUUUUCUCUAAAAUUGUUUUAGUUAUUAAAUGUCAAAUGGAAGCUAAAUUUUAAAUUUUAUGUUGUCAGUAGUUCUAUUAUCUUUGAAGACUUAAUCACAAAUUAGACCGCAUGCAAAAGCAAAGAUGCGUGCUACUUGCUACAGAUUAAUUACAUAAUGUGCCCAAGGAACCAAGCUUGUUACCUUAAUUAGAAUCAUGUUCUGUCAAGUUGUCUUACUGUUUCCAGUUAAACUUCUGCCACUACUGAAGUGCAUGCUAACUUGACACUGAAGUGCUUUGACCUGGCUGUUGGUGAAUGUUUCAUGAUGACUCUAAUGACUUUGAAGCAGUGAUGUUAUCUCUGUGCUGCUGCUUCCAUUUACCUCUACUUACUAGCAGCUGAGAACAGAGCAUAUCCAUCAGCCAGUCAAGUUCCAAAAGCUCCCCUCAUACUCAGAGGCAUAACUAUCUGAAAGAUCUUAGACUUAGUAGUAGAAGGGACAAAAAGGCAAAAUCCCUCUGUACAAGGCACUCUUUGGUACACCAGUACCCUGGCUUAUUUAUGGCUUCUGUUUUAAGUCAACUGUUUUCAUUAACACACUAGCAAUCCUUUGUCUAAAGUCUUAGCCACAUGAUAAAACCUCAGAUUGGGCCACUUGCCAGUAUUGUUUUUGACUGUCUGCUGUUGUUCCUCUGUCCAGAGCAGACUUGUAAACCAGCCUGCUCAUGACCAAAGGUAGGCAAGAGCUGAUUAACUAUCACUGAAAGAAAAUUUGCAGCAUCUUUUCCAUCAUAGCGUUUGAGGCAUUCUGCCCCUAUUGUCUUAAUUCUACACUGAGUUUCUAAGAACUGCCAUAAGGGGCUAAUAGAACUGUCUAAGCUACUAGAGAUGAGACAAUCACUUGCAUACAGGGAGUACUGAUACCUUGAGGUACUGAGAUGGCUAUUAAUUUUUAAACAUCCAUAUUCUAGUAUUAAAGAAUAGUCAGCUCAAGUCCUGGACUGUAUGCUGGGAACACUGUUCCACAAAUAAAUUCUGUAUUUCAUUCCCAUUUGAGGACUAAGCUUCUGAUCUGAAAGAGAUGUAUCAAAGUUGCCCUAUGUUUGGAGCCCCAACGUGUUUACUUUGAGCUUACUAAUUGUUCAUUCUUCACUUGGUUUGGGUUGCCCCUUGCAUCUGGAAGCAUGUGUUUAUACAGGAAAGGGAAUAGACAGGCUGGGUAAAUGCUGUGAUUUCAAGGCUUGUGCUGUCAUUCACUGGUGGCUUCAGUCUACAGAAACUUAAGUUUAAACAAUCUUUAGCUAUUCCUGAUAUUGUACUAAUUUAACCUGUGUAUCUUCUGCUGUGACCCAGCUCAGAUAUGGUCUGAGUGAAGAAAGUCUCCCUCCAGCAUCCUGCAGCUGUCUGCAUAUAGCCCAGGAUAAUACCUGAGCAAAUCAAAAGCCAAAUCCUCACCCUGUGCUCUGCCAGUUUAUGAUCUGCUUAGUGAGGAGUUCAGUUUUCCAGCUUUGUGGUCAGUGUGUGUCUAGGGAGCUAAUUUUAAAGGGUGACUUGUUAAGGCUGAUUAUUAUUUCUCAUUCCACAGGGGUCUGCUGUUAAUGUACUGUUAGCAUACAUGAAUUGUAGCUAAGGUUCUGGAUGAUCAGUGUACAACCUCAGCUCUGCUGAGCAAAUGCCAUAUCCUUUAACUAUGUGAUAUGAAUACUAGGUUUAAUGCAAAACAGGAUAUGAUUCAUGUACAUCAGAUGCCAUUGUAGGUGCACAGCUGCUGAUCAGAUAUAUACACAGCAGCUACUGCUACAAAAUCCUAAAACAAACAUGGUGUGCCAAACCCUGUAUUUCUUCGAUUCUGUAGGUAAGUUGAUUUGCCAGGAGAGAGUUUAGAAUUAGUACUGAGGUGAGCUACUCUUGCCAGGGCUUAAGGGCAAGGUCAAAUAAGCAGUGUUCCUGGAAGAAACAUGUUAUACCUGUCCUCAGCAAGGACUCUGUGUGCUGAAUAGAAAUGCUCAGUCUGCAGCUGUCCUAACUAGAACAUUAAAGUGUCACAAACAUACCUAUGCUGAGCUUGUUUGGCUACAGAGCCUUGGUAUCAGUGCCAGGCAUUACUGGGAAGACUUCUGCUCUAAUCUGAGGAUGUAUGAGGCCAGGUUAGCUUUAAAACUGUGACUCAAAUGCCAACUUCAACUUCUGCUGAUUCUAGCUCAGAAAUGAGCACUGGCAGAGGUCUUGUGUAAUGAGGAUACAUGUAACUGUUAGAAUGAGUUACUUUUUUAGGUUGAAUCUUGAAACUCUUCUGGCAAGUCAGAGCACAGUUGAAGAGCUGAUGAGCUUUUCACUUAAGAGGAAUAUAGCACAGCUGCACUUGUUUCUAGGUUUGGGUGAGUGGUUGGUAAAGAGCUGUCUUUUCUUCUCUUCAGCAGAAGCUGGGAAGGCAGAGAUAUGAGCUUUUAUUUAUACCCCACUUCUGAGAAGGCAGAGGAAAAUGGAGGCCCUGAUUUCUUGGUUUGGUUUGUUGCAUCAAUUCUGGAAGCUGUAACCAGAAUUUCUAGGCAUCUAAAGCUGUCUGGUAGUCUCUUCCACUUGGUACUAUGUGAACUCAACUAUGCUGGCUGUACUCUGCAAUCAAUGCAUGCAAGUGUCUAAAGGCUGAAUGACUCCUGUGCACCCACUGUCAAUGACUUAGCCUGCUGCCUGUUGCCUCUGCUCCAGUGAGGCAGUUGGUAAAGUAUACUGCAUCAAAUCCAGAGUGAGGAGAGAGACUGCCUUCUCAGUGGAGCACAAAGCUGACAGCACUUGCUGCUUCAGCAGACAUGUGCAGAUAUGACAAUGUUGGGAACUGCAGACCUACAUACCGCCUUUCUAUGUGUUCCUGAUUCAGUCACUUGUGAUCCCUAAAGCAUUACUGUCCAGAUUUCCACAUGUGCUCCCUGCAAAAACAGUGCAUAAAACCUAACCCCUUUCACAUGUGGAUAUGCCUGAAGAGAGCCAGAGGAAUUUCUGGGAAGAAGGAUGCAAUUAAAACUUCAAAAUAGCUC